UUCGAUUCCCCAAUCCCCACUUCCCCGUCUCUUCCACGGACCCCCAAAAAAUCCCAAAUUGCCGGCGGAACCCUAGCUCUGGUGCUACUGCCACCUCCACCGGCGGAAUCGGCGGCGGCUCCUUCCCGGCGCCACACCUCGGAGGUUGCGCUGCUCGGCCCGUCCCCGUCGCGUCCUUCCUCCGGCUACACCUUCAGGAUUUCGCGCCGCUCUCGUCCGAGGGCUUUGCACCGUCCUCUUACCUCUGUGCACAUGUGUUAUCCGUUCAUGUGCAAAGCAGGACGAUUACACCAUCAACGGGUGUCGGACAUGGACUCUUCCACCCUCCUUUGCCAGUGUUGUGUCAUGCUCGAGCAUGCCAUCAACUUGUGCCGGACACGGACUCCACAUGAAAUCCCUCCUUUGCCACAUAAUAGGCAUCGAGUGCUCUACGGAAGCAUCCAAUCUCGCUGUUCUACCAACUUCGCCGGAACACCGACCACCGGUGCUCCACCUGAGGUUGUUUUCAACUGGAGACAAAUCAGUGUUAUUGUCAUGCAUCGAAGAAGAGCUCGACCUUAUUGCUAACAUAUAGAUCCGCUGAUGGAUUUAAGUUUUCAUUCACCAACUACUCAAUUCCUCGGAGAUGAGGAUCGUUCUGUAGCUCAUGUGAGUUCACUCUAUAAGCACGAUACAGCAUGCAUGCAUAUUUG